rnacentral:rRNA from 1 species
UACGUAGGGGGCAAGCGUUGUCCGGAAUCAUUGGGCGUAAAGCGCGCGUAGGCGGCCCGGUAAGUCCGUUGUGAAAGUCAAAGGCUCAACCUUUGAACGCCGAUGGAUACUGCCGGGCUAGAGUCCGGAAGAGGCGAGUGGAAUUCCUGGUGGUAGCGGUGGAAUGCGCAGAUAUCAGGAGGAACACCAAUAGCGAAGGCAGCAUCGCUGGGACGGUACUGACGCUGAGGCGCGAAAGCGUGGGGAGCGAACAGGAAUUGAGACUACCCGGGUGUAAGUCCGAUGACCAAGUCCUCGU